GACGAACGCUGGCGGCGUGCUUAACACAUGCAAGUCGAACGGGAUUUAGUAAACAGAAACCUCGGUGGAAGAUUACUAAUGAGAGUGGCGAACGGGUGAGUAACGCGUGAGCAACCUGCCUAUGACAGUGGGAUAGCCUCGGGAAACCGGGAUUAAUACCGCAUAAAAUCGUAGAAACACAUGUUUUAACGGUCAAAGAUUUAUCGGUCAUAGAUGGGCUCGCGUCUGAUUAGCUAGUUGGUGAGAUAACAGCCCACCAAGGCGACGAUCAGUAGCCGGUCGGAGAGGAGGAACGGCCACAAUGGAACUGAGACACGGUCCAAACUCCUACGGGAGGCAGCAGUGGGGAAUAUUGCACAAUGGGGGAAACCCUGAUGCAGCGACGCCGCGUGAACGAAGAAGGUAUUCGUAUCGUAAAGUUCUGUCCUAUGGGAAGAUAAUGACAGUACCAUAGAAGAAAGCGCCGGCUAAAUACGUG
rnacentral:rRNA from 1 species